AACCAUUUGAUGGAUUUAAAUGCUGAAAAGAUUUCUACAUCUGGGUUAUUAAUUGAAGAAUCAAGAACAGACUUUCAAAAUACUACGAUUUACGCUUUCAAUAAUGGAAAUGCUAUGAAUAAUGGCUGCAACGACUGUACCAUUCAAGUUUGUAUAUGUAUAAAAGUGAUUCCUCGCUAAAACAACUGAGUAACAUGAAUCCAGGUGAAAACAUAUGAUAUACUAACAAAGAAGCACAGGGAGACUUAAGAGAUACAUAUAUGACACCAUAUAACGAUUUGUAUUGAUGGAUGUGUUGAUCUUGUGCUGUUGGCAACCAA